AUUGAACGCUGGCGGUAGGCUUAACACAUGCAAGUCGAGCGAGCGGCGGACGGGUGAGUAAUGUCUGGGAAACUGCCUGAUGGAGGGGGAUAACUACUGGAAACGGUAGCUAAUACCGCAUACCAUCAGAUGUGCCCAGAUGGGGUUAGCUAGUAGGUGGGGUAAUGGCUCACAUAGGCGACGAUCCCUAGCUGGUCUGAGAGGAUGACCAGCCACACUGAGACUGAGACACGGUCCAGACUCCUACGUGAGGCAGCGGUGGAGAAUAUAGCACAAUGGGCGCAAGCCUGAUGCAGCCAUGCCGCGUGUGUGAAGAAGGCCUUCGGGUUGUAAGACACUUUCAGCGAGGAGGCAUUACUCGCAGAGGACGCACCGGCUAACUCCGUGCCAGCAGCCGCGGUAAUAC
rnacentral:rRNA from 1 species